AUUGAACGCUGGCGGCAUGCCUAACACAUGCAAGUCGAACGGCAGCACAGUGCGUAGCAAUACGUAUGGGUGGCGAGUGGCGGACGGGUGAGGAAUGCAUCGGAAUCUACCCAGUAGCGGGGGAUAACCUGGGGAAACUCAGGCUAAUACCGCAUACGACCUAUGGGUGAAAGCGGGGGACCGUAAGGCCUCGCACUAUUGGAUGAGCCGAUGCCGGAUUAGCUAGUUGGUAGGGUAACGGCCUACCAAGGCGACGAUCCGUAGCUGGUCUGAGAGGACGAUCAGCCACACCGGAACUGAGACACGGUCCGGACUCCUACGGGAGGCAGCAGUGGGGAAUAUUGGACAAGUGGGGAAACCCUGAUCCAGCAAUGCCGCGUGUGUGAAGAAGGCCU
rnacentral:rRNA from 1 species